UACGUAGGUGGCGAGCGUUGUCCGGAUUUAUUGGGUUUAAAGAGUGCGUAGGCGGUUCCAUAAGUCAGUGGUGAAAUACGGCAGCUCAACUGUCGAGGUGCCAUUGAUACUGCGGAACUUGAGCACUGAUGAGGUAGGCGGAAUUGACGGUGUAGCGGUGAAAUGCUUAGAUAUCGUCAAGAACACCGAUAGCGAAGGCAGCUUACCAAGCAGUAACUGACGCUGAGGCACGAAAGUGCGGGGAUCAAACAGG
rnacentral:rRNA from 1 species